rnacentral:rRNA from 1 species
CCUACGGGUGGCAGCAGUGAGGAAUAUUGGUCAAUGGACGCAAGUCUGACCCAGCCAUGCCGCGUGCAGGAAGACGGCUCUAUGAGUUGUAAACUGCUUUUUUACGAGGGUAAACGGAGAUACGCGUAUCUGUCUGAAAUUAUCGUACCUAUAAGGAUCGGCUAACUCCGUGCCGUCAGCCGCGGUAAUACGGAGGAUUUAAGCGUUAUCCGGAUUGAUUGGGUUGAAAGGGUGCGUAGGCGGUCGGAUAAGUUAGAGGUGAAAUCCCGGGGCUCAACUUGGGAAUUGCCUUUGAUACUGGUCGUCUAGAGAGUAGGAGAGGUAGGCGGAAU